CAACGCCGCGUGGAGGAUGAAGUCCCUUGGGACGUAAACUCCUUUCGAUCGGGACGAUAACUUCGACGGUACCGGAACGAAGAAGCCCGGCUAACUUCGGUGC
rnacentral:rRNA from 1 species